rnacentral:rRNA from 1 species
UACGUAGGGGGCAAGCGUUGUCCGGAUUUAUUGGGCGUAAAGAGCGUGUAGGCGGCCUGACAGGUCUGCUGUGAAAACUCGAGGCUCAACCUCGAGAUGUCGGCGGAAACCGUCUGGCUAGAGUCCGGAAGAGGAGAGUGGAAUUCCUGGUGUAGCGGUGAAAUGCGCAGAUAUCAGGAAGAACACCCGUGGCGAAGGCAGAUCUCUGGGCCGUAACUGACGCUGAGGAGCGAAAGCAUGGGGAGCGAACAGG